UACGUAGGCAGCAAGCGUUGUUCGGAGUUACUGGGCGUAAAGGGUGUGUAGGCGGUUCUUUAAGUUUGGUGUGAAAUCUCCCGGCUCAACCGGGAGGGUGCGCCGAAUACUGAGGGACUAGAGUGCGGGAGAGGAAAGUGGAAUUCCUGGUGUAGCGGUGAAAUGCGUAGAUAUCUGGAGGAACACCGGUGGCGAAGGCGGCAUCCUGGACCGAGAUUGACGCUGAGGCGCGAAAGCUAGGGGAGCAAACGGG
rnacentral:rRNA from 1 species